rnacentral:rRNA from 1 species
CCUACGGGAGGCAGCAGUGAGGAAUAUUGGUCAAUGGCCGAGAGGCUGAACCAGCCAAGUCGCGUGAGGGAAGAAUGUCCUAUGGAUUGUAAACCUCUUCUGUCAGGGAGCAAAGUCACCCACGUGUGGGUGUUGGAGAGUACCUGAAGAAAAAGCAUCGGCUAACUCCGUGCCAGCAGCCGCGGUAAUCCGGAGGAUGCGAGCGUUAUCCGGAUUUAUUGGGUUUAAAGGGUGCGUAGGCGGGUUAUCAAGUCAGCCGUAAAAGCGUGGAGCCCAAAUCCAUCCCGCCGUUGAAACUGAUGAUCUUGGGUGAGCGAGAAGUAUGCGGCAUGCGUGGUGUAGCGGUGGAAUGCAUAGAUAUCACGCAGAACUCCGAGUGCGAAGGCAGCAUACCGGAGCCCGACUGACGCUGAAGCACGAAAGCGUGGGUAUCGAACAGGAUUAGAUACCCCUGUAGUC